rnacentral:siRNA from 1 species
GCGGAGGACAUUGUCAGGUGG